GGAUGAAAUACAAGAGCUUAUAGGUUCUAAACAUAAAUUUUAAACAAAAAAAUGUAAACAGAUUUUAACUAACAGUUUUUUUUUUGAAAAAUAAGUUUUGGAUAAUAUAAAUUUUUUAAUUAACUGGUCAAAAAGUCAAAAAAAAAAUUCACUGUGGGAUGUGCAAUGCAUGUAGGAGUACAGAUAUAUAUCGAACAUAAAUAUAACAAAAUUUAGUUCUUCUGUUACAAAGAAAGAAUUUAAAAUUACAUAUUUAAUUACGUCAUUCAAAUAAUGUAAUAUAUUUACUUAAUUGCACAUGUGGAUACCAAUAUUUAGCAAAAACAUCAAGACCUAUAAAAAUCUGAAUUUUAUAACAUGACAGGAGGCUUCAUAUUUGCUUAAGUCUCUCUUUACUAGAACUCCACAGCAGCAAAAAAACACAGAGAGUAAACAACCAAUCAGAAAACAGUAAGGAGACAAUAUAACUCAACCUUCUCAACAUUCCAUUCCCUCUUUCUUUGCUGCUCCGCAUCAGUACAGGUCAGCGUACCACUGCAUCCUGCUAUUUUAGUUGGUGGCUGUGCCUUCCUUCUCCCUCUGUGAUGGUAGGGAGUUAACUUUCUGUCAUCCUGCUAUUUUAGUUGGUGGCUGUGAGGUUCAUUCCCCUUAUUCUGUCCCCUUUAUUUCACCCGUUUUUCCGACGCACGGGUUUUGCACUGCUCGGGGGUUUCUGGAGGCCGGCCUGUUGCUGCCUCCUCCGAUUCCCCCAUGCCCCGGGACCGCAGAGUACGUCUCCAGCGGUCCCAUGUGUGCUUCAACCUCCGGUCGCGGGGUGCUCGCGAUCGAGCGCUCUACCUGCCGACCGGUCGCGGCCAGCUCAAUCUGUGGACCGUGUGUGUCCGCCAGGUGGAGGAGGGAACGCUGAACGCUCGCCCCCUCCCCCGCCUGUUAGUAGAUCUUUUCCCUUACGCAUGUGUGUGCUGUCCUGCUGUGGGGUUCCCAUACCGUUAAAGACCGCGGCCUGAGGCCUAUCUAUAUACUGGCGGUCUGGGAACACCCCUUACAUCCCUACAUUUAACCCUAACACUACUGUGAGGCUGCUGGUGUUGGGCAUUUAUCUAUAAAAUCAGUGGCUGUGUGGAUAAUGACUGCAUUGUUAUAUAUGUCACAAGGGUUAUUUAUAAUGAUGGUUUUUCACUGCUGGGUUUCUACACCAGCAUUUAUGUGCCCUAUGGGAGUUUUUCACUGCGUCCCCACUGUACUGUAUCUGUGGCCUACAUUAGACUUUAUCACAGGGUGUGCCAGGAUCCUUAUUUUAUUAAAUAGGAGUGCUCCAGUAUCAGUGACCCUUAUACUGUCUUACACCACUGCUACGUGACCUGGAAUGCUAUGUCUGUGCCCCUAUGACUGGCCUGCUUUGUCUGUGCCCAUAAGAUUGGCCUGCUCUGUCUGUGCCCUUUUGACCGGCCUGCUCUGUCUGUGCCUACUGACUGGCCUGCUCUGUCAGUGCCCUAUUACUGAGCCGGCGCUUGUCCGUGCCUAAAUCCUUACGGCCGCUGGCCUAGGAUAUUAUCUGGGGAGGUUUUUAUACUGAGGUUCGCUGUGACCACGCUGUAGACACUGGGAAUUGUGUCCACAUACAUUGCUCCCAUAAUAACUGGGUGACACCUGUCAUUUCUACCCCCAGGGUCACGCUACGGUCAGGAUAUGGAGGCUCCCACCCAAGAAAGCCUGCAGGCAAUGAUCAGCGCGGCCGUUGCCGCUUCUGUGGAGAAAGCACUCUCACGCGCUCUACCCCAGUCAUCCCAAGAUAAGGAUAUAUCGGAGGCUCAGCACACGCUGAUAGAGUCCGGCCCUGACUCACCGGACAGAGACCAGUCAUGCGCAUCUAAGUGCUACUGGAAAGGUGACGGUCCUGAGCCAUCUACCCGGAAUGGGUAAGGCUCCUGCAAAACAACCCUGACCACUUCAUCUCUGGCACGCCCAAGAUACUUCCCAGAAGAGGAGGAAGAUUUCACCGUCCCAGCACCCUUGUCCAUCCUGGAUGAAUGGCGGGCAGAUCAGUCCCCCUCGGAGGAUGAAGGCAGGUGGGGUGGGGAAGAACCGGAGGAGUUGGUGUACCAACAGGACGUCGGUGAAACUACUUCGCAACACCUACACACCUCCUUUGACAAAGGGGCAGUUCAGUGGAUGCCGGACAAAGGAGGCUUCUUCAGCUCCAUUUUUCUAGUCAGGAAGAAGACGGGAGAUUUCUGUCCG